GACGAACGCUGGCGGCGUGCUUAACACAUGCAAGUCGAACGGAAAGGCCCUGCUUUCGUGGGGUGCUCGAGUGGCGAACGGGUGAGUAACACGUGAGUAACCUGCCCUUGACUUUGGGAUAACUUCAGGAAACUGGGGCUAAUACCGGACAGGAGCUCCCGCUCCAUGGAGGGGGUUGGAAAGUUUCGGCGGGUGUGGAUGGAUUCGCGGCUUAUCAGCUUGUUGGUGGGGUAGUGGCUUACCAAGGCUUUGACGGGUAGCCGGCCUGGGAGGGUGGCCGGCCACAUUGGGACUGAGGUACGGCCCAGACUCCUACGGGAGGCAGCGGGGGGGAAUAUUGCACAAUGGUCGGAAGCCUGAUGCAGCAACGCCGCGGGCGGGAUGACGGCCUUCGGGUUGUAAACCGCUUUCGCCUGUGACGAAGCGUGAGUGACGGUAAUGGGUAAAGAAGCACCGGCUAACUACGUG
rnacentral:rRNA from 1 species